GGCGCUGUAGCUCAGGGGUUAGAGCGGAGGCUUCAUAAGCCUUAGGUCGGUGGUUCGAUUCCACUCAGCGCUACCA
rnacentral:tRNA from 1 species